UACGUAUGUGGCAAGCGUUGUCCGGAAUUAUUGGGCGUAAAGCGCGCGCAGGCGGUCCUUUAAGUCUGAUGUGAAAGCCCACGGCUCAACCGUGGAGGGUCAUUGGAAACUGGGGGACUUGAGUACAGAAGAGAAGAGUGGAAUUCCACGUGUAGCGGUGAAAUGCGUAGAGAUGUGGAGGAACACCAGUGGCGAAGGCGACUCUUUGGUCUGUAACUGACGCUGAGGCGCGAAAGCGUGGGGAGCAAACAGG
rnacentral:rRNA from 1 species